UACGUAGGGGGCUAGCGUUGUCCGGAAUCAUUGGGCGUAAAGCGCGCGUAGGCGGCCCGGUAAGUCCGCUCUGAAAAGUCCAGGGCUCAACCCUGGAAUGCGGGUGGAUACUGCCGGGCUAGAGUCCGGAAGAGGCGAGUGGAAUUCCUGGUGUAGCGGUGGAAUGCGCAGAUAUCAGGAGGAACACCAAUAGCGAAGGCAGCUCGCUGGGACGGUACUGACGCUAAGGCGCGAAAGCGUGGGGAGCAAACAGG
rnacentral:rRNA from 1 species